GACGAACGCGGCGGCGUGCCUAAUACAUGCAAGUCGAGCGAAGUUUUUCUGGUGCUUGCACUAGAAAAACUUAGCGGCGAACGGGUGAGUAACACGUAAAGAACCUGCCUCAUAGACUGGGACAACUAUUGGAAACGAUAGCUAAUACCGGAUAACAGUAUUUCUCGCAUGAGAGAUAUUUAAAAGUUGGUUAUGCUAACACUAUGAGAUGGCUUUGCGGUGCAUUAGCUAGUUGGUGGGGUAAAGGCCCACCAAGGCGACGAUGCAUAGCCGACCUGAGAGGGUGAUCGGCCACACUGGGACUGAGACACGGCCCAGACUCCUACGGGAGGCAGCAGUAGGGAAUCUUCCGCAAUGGGCGAAAGCCUGACGGAGCAACGCCGCGUGAGUGAAGAAGGAUUUCGGUUCGUAAAGCUCUGUUGUUAGGGAAGAAUGGAUAUGUAGUAACUAUACAUAUAAGAGACGGUACCUAACCA
rnacentral:rRNA from 1 species